ACGUAGGGGGCGAGCGUUAUUCGGAAUUACUGGGCGUAAAGGGCAUGUAGGCGGCCCUUCAAGUCGCGUGUCAAAGUCCAGUGCUCAACGCUGGGAGUGCACGCGAUACUGAUGAGCUUGAGUGCUGGAGAGGUGAGCGGAAUUCCCGGUGUAGUGGUAAAAUACGUAGAUAUCAGGAGGAACACCAGCGGCGAAGGCGACUUACUAGACAGUUUCUGACGCUAAGAUACGAGAGCGUGGGGAGCAAACAG
rnacentral:rRNA from 1 species